UACGUAGGGGGCAAGCGUUGUCCGGAAUUAUUGGGCGUAAAGAGCGUGUAGGCGGCCCGGCAAGUCCGCCGUGAAAGUCCAGGGCUCAACCCUGGAAUGCCGGUGGAAACUGUCGGGCUUGAGUUCGGAAGAGGCGAGUGGAAUUCCUGGUGUAGCGGUGAAAUGCGCAGAUAUCAGGAGGAACACCGGUGGCGAAGGCGGCAUCCUGGACCGGCAUUGACGCUGAGGCGCGAAAGCCAGGGGAGCAAACGGG
rnacentral:rRNA from 1 species